UACGUAGGUGGCAAGCGUUGUCCGGAUUUAUUGGGCGUAAAGGGAGCGCAGGCGGUCUUUUAAGUCUGAUGUGAAAGCCCACGGCUUAACCGUGGAGGGUCAUUGGAAACUGGAGGACUUGAGUGCAGAAGAGGAGAGUGGAAUUCCAUGUGUAGCGGUGAAAUGCGUAGAGAUAUGGAGGAACACCAGUGGCGAAGGCGACUCUCUGGUCUGUAACUGACGCUGAGGAGCGAAAGCGUGGGUAGCGAACAGGAUUAGAUACCCGU
rnacentral:rRNA from 1 species